AAGAUCGGGGGACCACCCUCGAAGGCUAAGUACUCCUUACUGACCGAUAGCGAACCAGUACCGUGAGGGAAAGGUGAAAAGCACCCCGACGAGGGGAGUGAAACAGUACCUGAAACCGGACGCCUACAAUCAGUCGGAGCUUGACUGGACUCUAAUGACAAUCUGCUUCAUCAACACGAAAGUGAAUCAUGUUGGAGGCAAACGUGUCGGAUAUCGCAUUUGUGACAGACGGGACCAUGGCGGUCGUCGGACUUAUCGCGGGGCUCAUAGAUAUGAGCGUUAACCACUGCCCCCAUGAGGGGUGCCUGGCGAAGAACGAUGUGCCUGCCUAUAACUCGCUGGCCCUUGGCGAAACAUAUUUCCAGGAUAACGCCUCUGGCGAGGAAAUAUACUUCCGGCGCGACACGGGUUUGGCCUUUGGGCCGUUCCAGAAUGUCUGGGGCCUCUCGGCCACGACAGACGGCGAAUUCUGGAUCGGAGCAGGCCAUGCCUACACGAUGCACCUCUUUAACGAGCGCACCUUCAUCCAGUUUCAUGCGAUGACGGGGCUCUACGAGAAUGGGGGCGGCCACGAUCUCGGUGGUCCGAUCGAAUUCCGGUCGGGUAUCGAGCUCGGCUAUCAGGCCCGGAACGGCACGCGGAUCGGCCUCGGCGUCGAUCACCGUUCGAACUCCGGGAUCUACAGCCGCAACCCCGGCCUCGAAACAGUGCAUCUGCGGGUUUCCAUCCCGAUCAAAUGAGAUUGUUAUUAGUGUCCAGUCUUGUGACGGCGUACCUUUUGUAUAAUGGGUCAUCGACUUGGUCUAUCCAGCAAGCUUAAGCCGUUAGGUGUAGGCGCAGCGAAAGCGAGUCUUAAUAGGGCGAUGAGUUGGAUGGAUCAGACCCGAAACCGAGUGAUCUAGGCAUGGCCAGGUUGAAGGUAAGGUAACACUUACUGGAGGACCGAACCCACUUCUGUUGAAAAAGAACGGGAUGAGCUGUGCCUAGGGGUGAAAGGCCAAUCAAACUCGGAGAUAGCUGGUUCUCUGCGAAAUCUAUUUAGGUAGAGCGUCAUCCGAAUACCCUCGGGGGUAGAGCACUGGAUGGGUAAUGGGGCCCCACAGGCUUACUGAUCCUAACCAAACUCCGAAUACCGAGGAGUACUAGAUGGCAGACACACUGCGGGUGCUAACGCCCGUAGUGGAGAGGGAAACAACCCUGACCUCCGGCUAAGGCCCCCAAUUCGUGGCUAAGUGGGAAAGCAGGUGGGACGACCAAAACAACCAGGAGGUUGGCUUAGAAGCAGCCAUCCUUUAAAGAUAGCGUAACAGCUCACUGGUCUAAACAAGUUGUCCUGCGGCGAAGAUGUAACGGGGCUCAAGCCACGAGCCGAAGCCGAGGAGUGCGUAAGCACUGGUAGCAGAGCGUAGUGUGACAUAGUCUCAUUCCUCCUUAGCGGGUUCGCCCGCCUUGGAGGAGAGAGGCUUUCGAUGAAGCCGGGGCGUGAGCCAUCCGGUGGAGAGAUCACUAGU
rnacentral:rRNA from 1 species